CUAUGGCGACCGGCGCACGGGUGAGUAACGCGUAUGCAACCUGCCCGAUACCGGGGUAUAGCCCAUGGAAACGUGGAUUAACACCCCAUAGUACUUUUAUCCUGCCUGGGAUGGGAGUUAAAUGUUCAAGGUAUCGGAUGGGCAUGCGUCCUAUUAGUUAGUUGGCGGGGUAACAGCCCACCAAGACGAUGAUAGGUAGGGGUUCUGAGAGGAAGGUCCCCCACAUUGGAACUGAGACACGGUCCAA
rnacentral:rRNA from 1 species